CAGCCGCCACGGGAGUACGUAGGGUGCAAGCGUUAAUCGGAAUUACUGGGCGUAAAGCGUGCGCAGGCGGUUCGCUAAGACAGAUGUGAAAUCCCCGGGCUCAACCUGGGAACUGCAUUUGUGACUGGCAAGCUAGAGUGUGGCAGAGGGGGGUGGAAUUCCGCGUGUAGCAGUGAAAUGCGUAGAUAUGCGGAGGAACACCGAUGGCGAAGGCAGCCCCCUGGGCCAACACUGACGCUCAUGCACGAAAGCGUGGGGAGCAAACAGGAUUAGAUACCCCCGUAGUCCCUGUCUCUUAUAC
rnacentral:rRNA from 1 species